rnacentral:rRNA from 1 species
GAAACGACUGCUAAGACUGGAUAGGAAAAGUAAAGGCAUCUUCACUUUUUUAAAAGACCUUCUUUGAAGGUAUGCUUAAGGAGGGGCUUGCGACACAUUAGUUAGUUGGCAGGGUAAAGGCCUACCAAGACUAUGAUGUGUAGCUGGACUGAGAGGUUGAACAGCCACAUUGGGACUGAGACACGGCCCAAACUCCUACGGGAGGCAGCAGUAGGGAAUUUUCGGCAAUGGAGGAAACUCUGACCGAGCAACGCCGCGUGAACGAUGAAGUAUUUCGGUAUGUAAAGUUCUUUUAUUAAGGAAGAAAAAAGAGUGGAAAAACUCCCUUGACGGUACUUAAUGAAUAAGCCCCGGCUAAUUAUGUGCCAGCAGCCGCGGUAAUACAUAAGGGGCGAGCGUUAUCCGGAAUUAUUGGGCGUAAAGGGUGCGUAGGCGGUUUAAUAAGUCUAUAGUUUAAUUUCAGUGCUUAACGCUGUUAUGCUAUAGAAACUGUUUUACUAGAGUGAGAUAGAGGCAAGCGGAAUUCCAUGUGUAGCGGUAAAAUGCGUAAAUAUAUGGAGGAACACCAGAGGCGUAGGCGGCUUGCUGGGUCUUUACUGACGCUGAGGCACGAAAGYGUGGGGAGCAAACAGGAUUAGAUACCCUGGUAGUCCACGCCGUAAACGAUGAGUACUAAGUGUCGGGUAAAACCGGUACUGAAGUUAACACAUUAAGUACUCCGCCUGAGUAGUACGUACGCAAGUAUGAAACUUAAAGGAAUUGACGGGACUCCGCACAAGCGGUGGAUCAUGUUGUUUAAUUCGAAGAUACACGAAAAACCUUACCAGGYCUUGACAUUUUCUUGCGAAGUUAUAGAAAUAUAAUGGAGGUUAUCAGGAAAACAGGUGGUGCAUGGUUGUCGUCAGCUCGUGUCGUGAGAUGUUAGGUUAAGUCCUAAAACGAGCGCAACCCUUGUCGUUAAUUGCCAGCAUGUAAUGAUGGGGACUUUAACGAGACUGCCAAUGAAAAAUUGGAGGAAGGUGGGGAUUACGUCAAAUCAUCAUGCCCCUUAUGAUCUGGGCUACAAACGUGAUACAAUGGUUGAUACAAAGAGUAGCUGAAACGCGAGUUCUUAGCCAAUCUCACAAAAUCAAUCUCAGUUCGGAUUGAAGUCUGCAACUCGACUUCAUGAAGUUGGAAUCGCUAGUAAUCGCGAAUCAGCAUGUCGCGGUGAAUACGUUCACGGGGUUUGUACACACCGCCCGUCA